CAAGAGGUCCGUAGGUGCUCCUGACGCCCGAGCUUAGGGUAUCGGGUUUGAGCCCUCGGAAUUA
rnacentral:SRP_RNA from 1 species